rnacentral:rRNA from 1 species
UACGUAGGGUGCGAGCGUUAAUCGGAAUUACUGGGCGUAAAGCGUGCGCAGGCGGUUUUGUAAGACAGAUGUGAAAUCCCCGGGCUUAACCUGGGAACUGCAUUUGUGACUGCAAGACUAGAGUGCGGCAGAGGGAGGUAGAAUUCCACGUGUAGCAGUGAAAUGCGUAGAUAUGUGGAGGAAUACCGAUGGCGAAGGCACUCUGCUGGGCCGACACUGACACUGAGAGACGAAAGCUAGGGGAGCAAACAGG